rnacentral:rRNA from 1 species
UACAGAGGUCUCGAGCGUUAUCCGGAAUUAUUGGGCGUAAAGAGCUCGUAGGCGGUUUGUCGCGUCUGCCGUGAAAGUCCGGGGCUCAACUCCGGAUCUGCGGUGGGUACGGGCAGACUAGAGUGAUGUAGGGGAGACUGGAAUUCCUGGUGUAGCGGUGAAAUGCGCAGAUAUCAGGAGGAACACCGAUGGCGAAGGCAGGUCUCUGGGCAUUAACUGACGCUGAGGAGCGAAAGCAUGGGGAGCGAACAGG